CCUGGAGACUCCUACGGGAGGCAGCAGUGGGGAAUAUUGCACAAUGGGCGAAAGCCUGAUGCAGCGACGCCGCGUGAGGGAUGACGGCCUUCGGGUUGUAAACCUCUUUCGCUCAUGGUCAAGCCGCAACACUUGGUUGUGGUGAGGGUAGUGGGUAAAGAAGCGCCGGCUAACUACGUGCCAGCAGCCGCGGUAAUACGUAGGGCGCGAGCGUUGUCCGGAAUUAUUGGGCGUAAAGGGCUUGUAGGCGGUUGGUCGCGUCUGCCGUGAAAUCCUCUGGCUUAACUGGGGGCGUGCGGUGGGUACGGGCUGACUUGAGUGCGGUAGGGGAGACUGGAACUCCUGGUGUAGCGGUGGAAUGCGCAGAUAUCAGGAAGAACACCGGUGGCGAAGGCGGGUCUCUGGGCCGUUACUGACGCUGAGGAGCGAAAGCGUGGGGAGCGAACAGGAUUAGAUACCCUUGUAGUCCU
rnacentral:rRNA from 1 species